GUUGCCUAUAUACAUUUUAAAUUAUUAUUUAUUAUUUAGUUCUUUCAAUAGAUAUAGUUUUGUAGUGACUAUGAAAUAUAUUGUAAUUAUCUGUUUCCUGUUUAUCCUAGACAGGGCAAGAAAAGACUCCAAAUUUUACAAAAAGUUAAAAAUGAAAGACUGGUGCAUUGUGCAGUUCAACACUGGUGGUACAGAAAUUGUCCCUAGUUCAUGGUUAAAUGGGAAGAAAUUGUCAUGGCCUCCAUAUCCUCCGCGAGACACAUUCAGGAUCCACGCCGCAGUAAAGAGGAGAGUUCAUCCUGGUGCAACAUGGCUCACCUAUGCACCAGUCCGGCUUCUCAUAAGCCAUGACACAUUUCAAGAAGCCGAACGCAGUCUCCAGAAAUAUCUCAGUGAACACUGUGAUACAUCUGACCUUCAGUCCGAACCUGAAAGUCAGACCACUCUUAAAAGAAAGCACAAACCAAAUCCCCUGUACACGUAUAGUGACUCAGAGGAUGAGCAGCCCACAAAAAAAA